rnacentral:rRNA from 1 species
GAUGAACGCUGGCGGCGUGCCUAAUACAUGCAAGUCGAGCGGACGGACGCGAAGCUUGCUUGUCUGACGUUAGCGGAGGACGGGUGAGUAACACGUGGAUACCCUCCCUAUAUGACUGGGAUAACUUCGGGACACCGGAGCUAAUACCAGAUGAUAUUUUGAUCCGCAUGGUUCUGGAGUGAAAGACGGUUUUGCUGUCACUUCUCGAUGGAUCCGCGCUGCAUUGGCGAGUUGGUAAGGUAACGGCUUACCAAGGCAACGAUGCAUAGCCGACCUGAGAGGGGGAUCGGCCACACGGGAACGUAGACACGGUCCAGACUCCUACGGGAGGCCGCAGUAGGGAAUCUUGCGCAAGGGGCGAAAGCCUGACGGUGCGACGCCGCGUGAGGGAUGGAGGUCUUCGGAUCGUAAAACUCUGUUAGUAGGGAAGAACAUAUGGGUAAGUAACUGGGCACAUCUUGACGGUACCUAAUCAGAAAGCCCCGGCUAACUACGUG